UGGGGAAUAUUGCACAAUGGGCGCAAGCCUGAUGCAGCGACGCCGCGUGGGGGAUGAAGGCCUUCGGGUUGUAAACUCCUUUCGCUAGGGACGAAGCAUUAUGUGACGGUACCUGGAGAAGAAGCACCGGCUAACUACGUGCCAGCAGCCGCGGUAAUACGUAGGGUGCGAGCGUUGUCCGGAAUUACUGGGCGUAAAGAGCUCGUAGGUGGUUUGUCGCGUCGUUUGUGUAAGUCCACAGCUUAACUGUGGGACUGCAGGCGAUACGGGCAUAACUUGAGUGCUGUAGGGGAGACUGGAAUUCCUGGUGUAGCGGUGAAAUGCGCAGAUAUCAGGAGGAACACCGAUGGCGAAGGCAGGUCUCUGGGCAGUAACUGACGCUGAGGAGCGAAAGCAUGGGUAGCGAACAGG
rnacentral:rRNA from 1 species